GUCUACAGCCAUACCACCCUGAACGCGCCCGAUCUCGUCUGAUCUCGGAAGCUAAGUAGGGUCGGGCCUGGUUAGUACUUGGAUGGGAGACUGGAGGAUUCUGGGGCACCUGGCU
rnacentral:rRNA from 1 species